GUGCUUGCUGUCGUAGCACAUACACCGAAAUUGGAAUGAUACAGAGAUUAGAAUGGCCCCUGAGCAAGGAUGACACACAAAUUUGUGAAAUGUUCCACAUUUUU